GCUUGUAUUUAUUUUUGUAAGCUUUGUAUAUUUUUUUUUACAUUUGAACAGCUGUUCAUGAGUAAAGAAACAUACAGGCCACUGAAAGGGCUUCACAUAAAUAUUAUGAAACACACUGAUUCAUGCAAGCAGCAACAGGCACUACUAGAGAAUAUUUAUCAAUAAAGUCUGUAUGCCAUUAGGUAGUUUUAGGGUAAGUUUAAAUGUAUCCAAGCAGGAAUACAGCUCAAAGCACAAACAACUUCAACAUCAAAUAAGCAGAAGAAAUCUGCUGGGGGUGAGGGAAUAAAAAUCUGUGCACAGUUAAACAGAUUUUUUUUUUUUUUUUUUUUUUUUAAAUUCUAGUAGCCAGAACCUGUCUUGUUUCAAGUCAAGAAGUUUAAAACCAGCACAUUAAAUCUGUGACUACUAACAAAGUUCCCAGAACAAAAUUCCAAGUAAGCCUACAGGAAAUACACCUGAGUGAUGGUCCUUCAGCUAAAAAUUUGGCAGAAUCAGUGUGGCAUCUUACUGCAGUGUUCAAGACAGUGAUACAUACAACUAUCAAAUGCUUGUCACAUGUAAGCCAGUUUAUAUUGAAACAUAAUGAGACAGUCAGUUAAACGAAUCAACACAGUCACUGCAAAAAAAUCACAGCCUUCCCAUUAAAGAUAAUAACCAUCUCAUAAGCUCUUAUGGAUGAUAUAUAGCACCAAUUACUUUCAGAUAAACUGGUUUAUCAUGUAAGUAAUGAUGACUGUACUAUCGUUGUCUCCAGCCAUCUGACUUCAGUCAACAUCUACCUUUCUCCUGACAUUUCUUAUUACAGAACGAUACAUGCAACCUAGCCUGCCUGCAACUCUGAAAAGUCACUCCCAAAUUGGAAAAAACAAAGAUGCCAUGUUUUUUACUUGGUCUGAACGUUAUGUGGAAGAAGUUGAUUAAUUUAGCUGCUUAAUUAGUUGUUCAGCCUUUUUUCCAUCCCCAGACUCUGAAAGAGACAUAAGGUAAU